UACGUAGGGAGCAAGCGUUGUCCGGAAUCAUUGGGCGUAAAGCGCGCGUAGGCGGCCCUGUAAGUCCGUUGUGAAAGUCAAAGGCUCAACCUUUGAAAGCCGAUGGAUACUGCAGGGCUAGAGUCCGGAAGAGGCGAGUGGAAUUCCUGGUGUAGCGGUGGAAUGCGCAGAUAUCAGGAGGAACACCGGUGGCGAAGGCGGUUCUCUGGGAAUGUCCUGACGCUGAGACGCGAAAGCGUGGGGAGCGAACAGG
rnacentral:rRNA from 1 species